UGCGCUGGGGAGGCUGCUUGCUACAAGCUCCCAAAGCUCUGGGAGGACAUAGUAUUCAUUCCUCCCUCAGCAGAAGCGGUGAGGCAAGAAGCUCUGGGGAGCACCCAGCCUUGGACUUUUAGCAUAGUGUGUCAGGUCUUCAUAGUUUGGGCCCAGGGCACAGAGAAGUCACAGCUCUCCGGCAUCCUGUGACCUUUACCCUCUUUGCCAAGGGAAAAUGUGGCCCACCAAAGCAAGAAACUUGAGGGCAUGGGUCACCCCAGCCCUGGCAUCUGCCCAGAGCCCGAGAAGGAAGGAACAAUGAUCCUCCAGCUACCUCACGGGGCUGGCACAGGUGACCACUGCCCUGGCAUCACCCAGCUGUGUCCGGCAGCCUGAACCCCAUCUGUGGGGAUGUGAGGAGGAAAAUACAAAAGUCCUUAGGUGAACACUGAGAAGGCAGAUGCAGCAGAAACCUCCAGGCCAGAACUACCCAGUCUUGGACCUAUGGUGGAGAUAGAGCAUAGCUGGCGAUCAUGUAUACUUACACUCUAAGGUCACCUGGUUGCACUGUGGCCUCAUCUGUGGCUCUGAAAAUGAAGAUUUGGAAGGAGAUCAUCACAGCUAAUGUUAACAAGCCCCU
rnacentral:lncRNA from 1 species